rnacentral:misc_RNA from 1 species
GAUGAAGAACGUAGCGAAAUGCGAUAAGUAGUGUGAAUUGCAGAAUUCAGUGAAUCAUCGAAUCUUUGAGCGCACAUUGCGCCCUUUGGUAUUCCAAAGGGCAUGCCUGUUCGAGCGUCAUUUGUACCCUCAAGCUUUGCUUGGUGUUGGGCGUCUUGUCUCUAGCUUUGCUGGAGACUCGCCUUAAAGUAAUUGGCAGCCGGCCUACUGGUUUCGGAGCGCAGCACAAGUCGCACUCUCUAUCAGCAAAGGUCUAGCAUCCAUUAAGCCUUUUUUUCAACUUUUGACCUCGGAUCAGGUAGGGAUACCCGCUGAACUUAAGCAUAUCAAUAAGCGGAGGA